CCUAAUCCCGUUUCCUCACCAUAAAGUGGAAAUGACGGAGUACGCGCUCCCGGGCCCAGCACAGAACUUGGCUCCCAAUGGGCCUGUACCCUGCUCCCUGUCCCAUUUUGUAUGUCACUUCCUCUAGGGUCGCUAGUGGUUCCUGUGGGACUAAGUGGUAUUUCCAGAGGUCUCACUUCCACAAUCGGGAUUAACUCAAGGCCUCCACAGUGAUCUUUUAAAUUUUUAUUUUGAGACCGGGUCUUGCCAAGUUGCUAAAUUGCCUGGGUUGGACUAGAACUUGGAAUCUUCCACCUCAGGCUCUCAGAGUGCAGAGAUUACAGGCAUGUAAGCUUUUCCAGAGCUUUUGAACCCAAACUAGAAAGCUUUAAACUACUUAAAGAGUAUUAUGGUUUGGAUCUUAACUAUCUCCCAAGGCCUAUAGACUAAAAGCUGGGUUGCCAAUCUGUUAGGAGGUGGUGAAUCCUUUAAGGGGUGGGGCUUAGUUGCAAUUAGGUCAGGGGGUGUGUGCCCUGGCAGGGGAUUUUGGGACCCCAGUCUCUUCCUUUCUGUUCUACCUCUGAGUAGCUGUGCUCUCUCCUGCGCUGGGGCCUGAUGUUCUGCUUCUUCAGGGAGCCGAGUGACCACGACUGCAAUCUCUGAAACCGUGAGCCAGAUGAACCUUUCCUCCUUUACCUUAGGGAUUUCCUCACAGCGACAGAAAUAUAACACAAGAGGUAUAGAGAAACACGAUGGCUUCAGGUUCCAUGCUGCGGCCAACUCCUUGCCAGCUGCCAGGGUGAGCAAUGACUUCUGGUGAGGUUGCAUCGAUUCCUCCACUGUCUCAGCAAGGAGACAAGGUGUUCCUGAAACCUCAGACUCUGCAUCUGUCCAUCAGAGCUUGAAGUACACUGUCUUCUUUUCAGAUGGGCGGACUGCAAGGGACAACUAAAGUUUAACUAGACAACAGAAUUAGAUUUAGAUACAAUUGGUAUAUUCCCAGGAAUCUUUCUAGAUGGUAAAUGGCACACAUGAGACACUUACUUUUCUUCGUUUUUUUUUAAAUUAAAAAAUUUAUCCAAAGGCAUACUUUUUGUAGCUACAAGUUCAAGAACUGUUGUUCCAUGUUGGUUUCAAACGGUGCCAAAGGUGGCAAAAGUCAUUGUGCAAAUAUGGUGCUCAAUGUGCAUAUUAUAUAGAGUCUAUUUUAUAUAUGUAGUAGCAGAGACAUCUGGAAUAUCUUUUUGCUGUUGAGAUAAAUUGCACUUGUCCAAUAUCUUCCCAUCUAGAGUUCAUUUAUAGUCGGCCUUUGAGCCUUAACCAAUGUUAUUCAACAGCCAGCUCGGUUUCAUUUAUAAUGGAUUUUCUCAAUUGGUUCUGUUUCAUGUUAAAAUUAGUGAUGAAAGUAGUUUUUUAAUGGAACAGACAGCGGGCAGCAGCAACUUCUGAAACCUAGUAGCGAUCACUUAAUUAUUAGCCAUUCACCUACACAGAACCAGGAUUACAAUAAAGCUCAGGUUGGUUUAAAUAUAUAUAGGUAUCACCCAUUUUUAAAAAAUUAGGUAAUUAUGAUGGGACCUGAGUUGAGAAAGUCAGUGCAACACCAGAAACAGCUGCCAAAACGCUUAAAGAAAAUGAACUGUCUUUGGAUUCAGGCCAGGUACUCACAGGUCUUAAGUAUCACUUACCUCCUGGCUUAAAAACAGAAGUGAACUCUGAUACAAGUUUCUUGCCCACCUACCCCCUUGAUGUUGGUAAAUUGUUAAGUACGCAUUUGGGUAAUAUGAUGCAAAGUUAAUAACUGAGGUCUAUAAUUAACACAUACUCAUAUGCACAUGCUAAAAAUAGGGUACGGAGGAAAGUCUCCCUAUUAGGUGAUGUGAUCAAGAACUAAUUGGUUAAUGUCUAUACAGCUAAACUAUAUAUAAAUAAACUGUAUGAUUAUUAUAAUUAUGGAGAUCACAGUUCAAAAUCCACUUUGAGUUCAAAGAAUAGUAAUUUAUACAUCUAAGUAUAGACGCAAAUAUUUAACUGUGUAAAAACACUUAUUUUAAUGCAAUUCCAAAUGUUUAGUAAGUAUUACUCAUUGGUCAGGUUUUACUUUUUUCUCUUUGUUUUGUUUUUUGCUGUAAUAGCGAUUGAAUCCAGGGCCUUUGAAUUGAGCUAUGUCCAUAGCCAGUUUUUAGUUUGAGACAGGCUCUCACUAAGUUACUGGCUGCCUAGGCUGGGCUCAAACCUUUGAUCUUCCUGCUUCAGCCUUCUAG
rnacentral:lncRNA from 1 species